GUAGGGUGCGAGCGUUAAUCGGAAUUACUGGGCGUAAAGCGUGCGCAGGCGGUUUUGUAAGUCAGAUGUGAAAUCCCCGGGCUUAACCUGGGAACUGCGUUUGAAACUACAAGGCUAGAGUGUGGCAGAGGGGGGUGGAAUUCCACGUGUAGCAGUGAAAUGCGUAGAGAUGUGGAGGAACACCGAUGGCGAAGGCAGCCCCCUGGGUUAACACUGACGCUCAGGCACGAAAGCGUGGGGAGCAAACAGGAUUAGAUACCCUGGUAGUCCACGCCCUAAACGAUGUCAACUAGUUGUCGGGUCUUAACGGACUUGGUAACGCAGCUAACGCGUGAAGUUGACCGCCUGGGGAGUACGGUCGCAAGAUUA
rnacentral:rRNA from 1 species